AUGGUGCCCAAGCAGAACCCGAAGCCUAACUUCCAGGAGGGGUGAACGAGGGCUGUGCUUUCAUGGGCCUCUUCUUUAUGAAGCAAAGUGUGUAAAGGUUGCCAUAAAGGACAAACAAGUGAAAUACUUCAUCCAUUACAGUGGUUGGAAUAAAAAUUGGGAUGAAUGGGCGCCAGAAAGCAGAGUAUUCAAAUACAUGGACACCAAUUUGCAGAAACAGCGAGAACCUCAAAAGGUCAAUCAGGAAAAAAUACGCAGAGGGCAAGAUGAGAGGGGGUUGCUCCAGGGAGGAAGGCAUCCGGUCUGCAACAGAAAGAUGUUAAAGUGAAAACAAAAAAGAGCAAGCAGGAAACACCUGGAAAUGGAGAUGGUGGCAGUACCCGUGAGGCACCUCAGCCUCCUAGGAAGGAGAGAGCCCGGGUAGAUCCUACCAUUUCUAUGAAAAUGAAGAAAUAUGCAUGAGCAGAGCUGAAGUUAAAGUGAAGAUUCCUGAAGAGCUGAAACUGUGGCCUGUGGAUGACUGGGGCUUGAUCACCAGACAAAAGCAGCAUUUUAUCUUCCUGCCAAGAAGACUGUGGGUUCCCAGAUGAUAAGGAGUACGCUGUUCAUGAGGCUGUGGCAGGCGUGAAGGGGUAUUUCAAUGUAGUGUUGGGCACUCAGCUACUCUACAAACUUGAGAGACCACAGUAUGCUGAAAUUCUCUCUGAUCUCCCGGAUGCACCCAUGUACGGAGCGCCACAUUUGCUGAGAUGAUUUGUGCGAAUUGGAGUGAUGUUGACCUAUACACCUCUAGAUGAGAAAAGCUUUGCUUUAUUACCGAACUGUCUACAAGAUUUCCUCAAGUACCCGGUGAAGAAUUCUGCAACUUUGUUCAGUGCCAGUCAUUAUGAAGCGGCUGCUCCUGAGUACCCUCGGAAAGCUGUGAGAGGGGCGUGCUCUCUCUCUCACUCGUGCUUGGAGUUCGGUAAAGUUUGGUUCUUAGUCCUUCUCUUGUACAAAUGA